CCUACGGGUGGCAGCAGUGGGGAAUAUUGGGCAAUGGGCGCAAGCCUGACCCAGCAACGCCGCGUGAAGGAAGAAGGCUUUCGGGUUGUAAACUUCUUUUAAGAGGGAAGUGCAGUAGACGGUAUCUCUUGAAUAAGCUCCGGCUAACUACGUGCCAGCAGCCGCGGUAAUACGUAGGGAGCGAGCGUUGUUCGGAUUUACUGGGUGUAAAGGGCGUGCAGCCGGGAGUACAAGUCAGAUGUGAAAUCACGCGGCUCAACCGCGGAACUGCAUUUGAAACUGUAGUUCUUGAGUGAUGGAGAGGCAGGCGGAAUUCCGUGUGUAGCGGUGAAAUGCGUAGAUAUACGGAGGAACACCAGUGGCGAAGGCGGCCUGCUGGACAUUAACUGACGCUGAGGCGCGAAAGCGUGGGGAGCAAACAGGAUUAGAUACCCCUGUAGUC
rnacentral:rRNA from 1 species